rnacentral:rRNA from 2 species
GAAGUUUUCGGAUGGAAUCUUGAUUGACUGAGUGGCGGACGGGUGAGUAACGCGUGGAUAACCUGCCUCACACUGGGGGAUAACAGUUAGAAAUGACUGCUAAUACCGCAUAAGCGCACAGUGCCGCAUGGCAGUGUGUGAAAAACUCCGGUGGUGUGAGAUGGAUCCGCGUCUGAUUAGCCAGUUGGCGGGGUAACGGCCCACCAAAGCGACGAUCAGUAGCCGACCUGAGAGGGUGACCGGCCACAUUGGGACUGAGACACGGCCCAAACUCCUACGGGAGGCAGCAGUGGGGAAUAUUGCACAAUGGGCGAAAGCCUGAUGCAGCGACGCCGCGUGAGUGAAGAAGUAUUUCGGUAUGUAAAGCUCUAUCAGCAGGGAAGAAAAUGACGGUACCUGACUAAGAAGCCCCGGCUAACUACGUGCCAGC